AAAAGAUACAAAAUAACUUUAUACCAAAAUUAUUACAAACUUUUUGGGUAUAUAAAGGUCAUCGCACAUUAAGACACUUCUCACAGUGGCUCCAGCUAAACACUGAAGCAGAAACAGAAAAAAAAAAAAAAAAAAAAAAAAAAAAGAAGCAAGAACGAGAGUACGAGAGAAGCAUGUCUGUGAGCGCAAUGCUAUUAUUGGUGGUUCUUGUGAUUCUCAUGGGAUCCCAUGACUCCACUCCUAUCCCUGACGAUCUCCAGAAGGUAGAGGAAUCCUUUGUCCAGAUCUUAGGGCAAUCCAAUCACGUUCUCUCCUUCGCUCGCUUCACUCACAAUUCGUUUUGGUGAUUGAAGGUAUGGGAAAAAGUAUCAGCAUGCGGAGGAGAUAAAGCACCGUUUCUCGGUGUUCAAGGAGAAUCUUGAUUUAAUCAGAUCCACCAACAACAAAGGCUUAUCUUACAAACUCGGUGUGAAUAGUAAGUUUAUCCUUAUCAUCAUGAAGUUUUAAUUCCGAUCUCUUAAUGGAUUAUUACCUUUUUUAAUAUUAAAAUGUUAAUAGUGAUUUUGUCUUUUCUUUUGGUUUGGUUAUUUUAAUACUAUAGAAAAAAAUUUUCUCUCCUCCCGUAACUUUUUUAAAUUCCACUGAAACUUUUCUUGUAUAGUUGGAUUUUUGUUUUCCUUUGAUUCAAUAUUUUUCCAAGUUUGCAGAGUGUGUGAGUAUGAGAGACUAGUUUGCAUGAAAAUUUACAAUCAAAUAUUAUUGUUCUGCUACAUAUAAUUUUUGCUGUUGUGGAUCAAGACUGUUCUUGUUCUUUGUGGGUGUGUCUUUACGUGAUCCUUGUUUGAUUUGAUGGAUAAUGAUCGGCCCAUCUUAUUCUCUUGAAUCCAAACAGAAAUUGCUGAUAUGACAAAACAAUACACGUGUCUACAUUGUAUUGGUUAUUUCUUGACCGCCUUACCUCUCUCAUCCAUCUGUAAAUCGAACUCUUGCGACCCAGGAUGUUAAAAUGGGCUUGUCCUAAACAUUUACGUCCAAGCCCGUUUAAUUUUUGUGUCCAUAUAAAACCCGUUUACUUAACAAUAUUAAACGGGCUUCGUCGGGUUUGUCCGCCUAUGUCCAUUUAAUAAAUGGGUUUUAUUAAAAAUAACUAGACAGCCCAUUCAGCCCAUGUAGUUUUUUCUCCCUGCUCCAAACUACGUCGUUUCUGGUGUUAACAUCCCUAAUCUCUGUUUGUCGUCGUUCUUCUCCUUCUCUGUGACUUGUGACUUGCCUCCCAUCGAAUACAACCCCGACGUACGUGGCUUCCAACCAUUCAACGACAACUUUCGUCUCUGUUUCUACAACACAACCCCAAACGCUUACACACUCGCUCUCAGAAUCGGAAACAGAGCUCAAGAGUCAACUCUCCGGUGAGUCUGGGAAGCAAACAGAGGCUCAUCGGUCAAAGAAAACCCGACGUUGACUUUGGGUGAAGACGGAGCACUGAAUUAGGAAGUCUCCUUGCCUCCUUUCAUCUUGUGUCUUCUACUUCUUCUUCUUCACUCUCUCCACCUCGUGUCUUCCUUGUAUCAAGGUUUCACGAACAUAUGCUUUAUCAUAUGCACCUGUUUUACAUCAGUUUACAUCAGAUCCUGGUAGUUCAAGAAGGAAAAGAGUAACUUAUGGACACUUAGUGUGAAGCGUAAACUUUAUUUUUUAAUUAUGUUGUGACUUGUGAUUUAUAAACUUUGAAUUUUUAUUUGAAGCAAAACAAUGUAAGGUUCUGGAUUCAUAUUUUAUUUGACAGGUAUUUAACA